GAUGAACGCUAGCUACAGGCUUAACACAUGCAAGUCGAGGGACCGGCGCACGGGUGAGUAACACGUAUCCAACCUGCCCAUUACUCGGAGAUAGCCUUUCGAAAGAAAGAUUAAUAUCCGAUAUAAAGGAUGGGGAUGCGUUCCAUUAGGUUGUUGGUGAGGUAACGGCUCACCAAGCCUUCGAUCGAUAGGUGUUAUGAGAGGAAGGAUCCCCACAUGUGUACUGAAGCACGGUCUAAACUCCUACGGGAUGCAGCAGUGAGGAAGAUUGGUCAAGGGGCGCUAGCCUGAACCAGCCAAGUAGCGUGAAGGGUGAAGGCUUAUGUGUGGUAAACUUCGUUUAUAUAAGAAUGGGUAUUAUAUGAAUAAGGAUCGGCUAACUCCGUGCCAGCAGCCGCGGUAAUUC
rnacentral:rRNA from 1 species